rnacentral:rRNA from 1 species
CCUACGGGAGGCAGCAGUGGGGAAUAUUGCUCAAUGGAGGAAACUCUGAUGCAGCGACGCCGCGUGAGUGAUGAAUUCUCUCGGUAUGUAAAACUUUUUCAGCAGGGGAGUAGAAAGACGGUCCCUUACUUAGAAGCCCCUGCUAUAUACGUACCAGCCGCCGCGGUCAUACGUAGGAGGCAAGCGUUAUCCGGAUUUACUGGGUUUAAAGGGAGCGUAGACGGCUUUGCAAGUCUGAGGUGAAAUGCCAGGGCUCAACCGUGGGACUGCAUUGGAAACUGUGGAGCUAGAGUACAGGUGAGGUAGGUGGAAUUCGUGGUGUAGCGGUGAAAUGCGUAGAUAUUAGGAGGAACCCCGAUUGCGAAGGCAGCUUACUGGACAGUAACUGACGUUGAGGCUCGAAAGCGUGGGGAGCAAACAGGAUUAGAUACCCCUGUAGUC